rnacentral:lncRNA from 1 species
UUAUAUAAAAUACAAAUACUUACCCUCUACUACAUACAUCCCACUACUACUAGCACUUAUCUCCUUGUUCUCUCCUUUCAUUAUCAGCCUUAAAAGGCACUUAUCAGUUUGCAAAUACGAAAUCCGGAUUGUAGUAUUGGUUUUCGUAUCACUCCUUUUAGGAAGCAAAUCAGCUAGUCGUUUAUAAAGUAUUACUAAGCAAGUCAGUCAGCUAUAAGUUAGCAAGCCAGCUCUCAAGAUUAAUUGGUGUUAUCAGGUU